AGAGCACGUUGUGGUAGAUCAUUCAUGCUGCCAGGGAAACUUUUGUAGUCUCCAAGCUACUACGAGACAUGGCUCUCGAUCCAGGGCAGAGGACUCAUCAAAAAGGCAGGAGCCCAGGCAGCCCACAGGAUUCCUUAGACUGGAAGGAUCACAGCCGGCAGGUUGGGGACGUGAUCUAGCCUGUGACUGAAGGCGAGGCUCCCUUUCACAUUCAUUCUUUCCUUCAUUCAUUCCAAACAACCUCCAGAGGUCAGAGGUCAGCCAGUUCAGCUUCCUGCCUGAGGUUGAGAAGCGAAAGCAUCAGAGAAGAGGAGGAUCGAUUUCACACCAGGGCCUCAGGCUGUAUGGGUGGAUUCCCUGCACCAGACCGUUUGUCUGGCAACUGCAGAACUGGAGAAGAAAUCUCGGCCCUACCCAGGAGUCUCGGAGCUCCCACCGCCUCAUGCGCCCAUCACAGCUUUCUGGAUCGACAGCCCCCUCUUUCAGUCAAUAGGAGCUUUGUGAGCUAAACAACAGAUGCCACAGGGCCUAGAAGGCAAAUAAAUAUGGUUAUUCAACGUUC